rnacentral:rRNA from 1 species
AUUGAACGCUGGCGGCAGGCCUAACACAUGCAAGUCGAGCGGAGCGGAGGACGGGUGAGUAAUGCCUAGGAAUAUGCCUGGUAGAGGGGGAUAACGUCCGGAAACGGGCGAUAAUACCGCAUAAUAUCAGAUGAGCCUAGGUCGGUUUGGCUAGUUGGUGGGGUAAAGGCCUACCAAGGCGACGAUCCGUAACUGGUCUGAGAGGAGGAUCAGUCAAACGGGAACUAAGACACGGUCCAGAUUCCGACGGGAGGCAGCAGGGGGGAAUAUUGGAAAAUGGGCGAAAGCCUGAGCCGGCCAUGCCGGGUGUUGGAAGAAGGUCUUCGGAUUGUAAAGCACUUUAAGUUGGGAGGCGUUACCAACAGAAUAAGCACCGGCUAACUUCGUGCCAGCAGCCGCGGUAAUUC